CGACUYUCGGCAACGGAUAUCUCGGCUCUCGCAUCGAUGAAGAACGUAGCGAAAUGCGAUACUUGGUGUGAAUUGCAGAAUCCCGUGAACCAUCGAGUCUUUGAACGCAAGUUGCGCCCGAAGCCUUCGGGCCGAGGGCAMGUCUGCCUGGGCGUCAMA
rnacentral:rRNA from 1 species